CAAUAGCGUAUAUUAAAGUUGUUGCAGUUAAAAAGCUCGUAGUUGGACCUUGGACCUGGACAGGCGGUCCGCCUCACGGCGUGUACUGUCUUGCUGGGUCUUUCCUCUUGGUGAUCUGUUGUUUCGGCAGCAGGGAACCAGGACUUUUACUUUGAAAAAAUUAGAGUGUUCAAAGCAGGCUCGACGCCGGAAUAUAUUAGCAUGGAAUAAUAGAAUAGGACGUGCGGUUCUAUUUUGUUGGUUUUUGGAAUCGCCGUAAUGAUUAAUAGGGACAGUCGGGGGCAUUAGUACUCACAUGCUAGAGGUGAAAUUCUUGGAUUUUGUGAAGACUAACUUCUGCGAAAGCAUUUGCCAAGGAUGUUUUCAUUAA
rnacentral:rRNA from 1 species